UAUUAUCAAAGCUUGCAAAGGAAGAACAAAAGAACGGCCAAGAUUAUUUCUAUUUACUCUUUAGGCUGAUCAUACUACUCACAAUUCAGUAAAAAGAUAUAUGCUUAUAGAGUUAAUGCAAGGACAGAAGCCUAUUAUGCCAAUUGAAGAGAAAAUUUCUACUUGGAGUAUCUUACCCUAGUAAGACAAUAUGUCUAGAGAAGAACUUCUUGUACUUCACAUUUAUCAACUAGAAAGAAGACCUGAAGAUGUGAAAAAAAAACAAUUAUAAGGCUAAAGGAGUUAUGCUUCAAGAAUAAAGAUAGAUUUGAUAAGCAACACAAGCUAAGACCAAAAGAUAUUCAAUUAGGUGAUUGUAUUUUGAUAUAUAAUAACAACUAGGAUAAUCAACAAA
rnacentral:lncRNA from 1 species